UUCCUUCCUCCCUCCCUUCCUUCCUUCCUUCCGUCCUUCCUUCCUCCUUCCUUCCUUCCCUCCCUUCCUUCCUUCCUUCUUCCGUCCUUCCUCCUUCCCUUCCUUCCCUUCCUUCCUUCCCUCCCUCCCUCCUUCCUUCCUUCCUUCCGUCCUUCCUUCCUGCCUUCCUUCCCUUCCUUCCUUCCCUCCCUCCUUCCUUCCUUCCUUCCUUCCUUCCUUCCUUCCCUUCCGUCCUUCCUUCCUUCUUCCGUCCUUCCGUCCUUCCUUCCUUCCUGUCCUUCCUUCCUUCCCUCCCUUCCUCCUUCCUUCCUUCCGUCCUUCCUUCCCUUCCUUCCUUCCUUCCUUCCGUCCUUCCUUCCCUUCCGUCCUUCCUUCCUUCCUUCCCUCCCUUCCCUCCCCUCCCGUCCUUCCCUUCCUUCCUUCCUUCCUUCCUUCCUCCUCCUUCCUUCCUCCUUCCUUUCCUUCUUCCUUCCUUCCUUCCUUCCUUCCUUCCUUCCUUCCUCCUUCCUUCCUCCUUCCUUCCUUCCUCCUCCUUCCUUCUCCCUCCCUUCCUUCCUUCCUCCUUCCUCCCUCCCUUCCUUCCUCCCUCCCUUCCUUCCUUCCUUCCUUCCUUCCUUCCUUCCAUCCUUCCUUCCCUUCCUAUCCUUCCCUCCCUCCCUCCUUCCUUCCCUUCCUUCCUUCCCUUCCUUCCUUACCUUCCUUCCUUCCUCCUUCCUUCCCUUCCUUCCUUCCUUCUUCCUUCCUUCCUUCCUUCCUUCCUUCCUUCCCUUCCUUCCUUCCUUCCUUCCUUCCUUCCUUCCUUCUUCCCUCCCUCCUUCCCUUCCUUCCUUCCUUCCCUUCCUUCCUUACCUUCCUUCCUUCCUUCCUUCCUUCCUUCCUUCCUUCCUUCCUUCCUUCCUUCUUCCUUCCUUCCUUCCUCCUCCUUCCUUCCUCCCUCCUUCCUUCCUUCCUCCUUCCCUCCUUCCUUCCUCCUCCCUCCCUUCCUUCCUUUCCUCCUUCCUUCCUUCCUUCCUUCCUUCCUUCCUUCCUUCCUUCCCUCCCUCCCUCCUUCCUUCCCUUCCUUCCUUCCCUUCCUUCCUUCCCUUCCUUCCUUCCCUCCUUCCUUCCCUUCCUUCCUUCCUCUUCCUUCCCUUCCUUCCUUCCUUCCUUCCUUCCUUCCUUCCUUCCUUCCUUCCUUCUUCCUUCCUUCCUCCCUCCCUCCCUCCUCCUUCCUUCCUUCCUUCCCUUCCUUCCUUCCUUCCUUCCUUCCUCCUUCCUUCCUUCCUUCCUUCCUUCUUCCUUCCUUCCUUCCCUUCUUCCUUCCUUCCCUCCUUCCUUCCUCCUUCCUUCCUUCCUUCCUUCCUUCCCUCCUUCCUUCCUUCCCUUCCUCCCUUCCUCCUUCCUUCCUUCCUUCCUUCCUUCCUUCCUUCCUUCCUUCCUUCCUUCCUUCCCUCCCUUCCCUCCUUCCUUCCUUCCUUCCUUCCUUCCCUCCUUCCUUCCUUCCUUCCUUCCCUUCCUUCCUUCCUUCCUUCCUUCCUUCCUUCCUUCCCUCCCUUCCCUCCCUUCCUUCCUUCCUUCCUUCCUUCCUUCCUUCCUUCCUUCCUUCCUUCUUCCCUCCCUUCCCUCCUUCCUUCCUUCUUCCCUCCUUCCUUCCUUCCUCCUUCCUUCCUUCCUCUUCCUUCCUUCCUUCCUUCCUUCCUUCCUUCCUUCCCUCCCUUCCCUCCUUCCUUCCUUCCUUCCCUCCCUUCUUUCCUUCCUUCCCUCUUCCUUCUUUCUAGUAAGAAUUUGUAAAGAAAAUAAUUGGUAGAAAUAGCUAAACCAAU
rnacentral:lncRNA from 1 species